rnacentral:ribozyme from 1 species
AGAAUGAUUUUCCGUACGCGUCAUGAUGAAACAAUUACUAACUAAAAUUUCUGAAAACAAGUGUCAGAAGAGUUUCUGCCAGGAGAAAAAAAGGAAGUUCCAAUCUUGCAAAAUC